ensembl:lncRNA
UUAUAAAGCCAGAUAUUUAAAUUUCCAAAGCAGUGUGCUUGAAAGCAUUAGCUGUUCUCUCUUUUUGGCCAUGGAGAGAAAUUGACUUUGAUGGCGGAGCAAUUUGUAAUCUAAGCCAAGUUCAAAUCACACUGGCAGGCUGGACUGCGGAAAAGGAUGUAUCCAUACAUAUCAUCUUCGUUCAAAAACGUUGCUAGAAAUGAACUGCAAAAGGCAGAAAUGGAUAUGAAGGCUGCUGAAGAUGCUGUGAGAGAAGCCAAGUGCACGUUACAGCAGUCACAGGACUCCCUCUUCCAAGAUAAACUUGAGGUAUAGUAACAAGGAUAAAAAUGUUUGAGAUAUUUAGGGUGUGCUGUUAUUUCCUCCCCCGCCCACCCAAAGCACACAGUCUUACCUGGGAAAUCUCCAGGGGAAAUGAAUGAAAGCUGUGCAAGAACGUGAACACAACCACCUUUUAGGGGCAGACUUAGGUAACUAUGGCCAAAUCCAGGCUGGGAAAGUAUAUCUUCUGCCUCAGGGUUCCUGAGAAUUAGGGGUUGGAGCGAGAAAUGAAAGAAGCCACAAUGCUAGGCUUCUCGUAGUAAUAACCUGGCCCAUCCAGAGUGUUCAAGCUUUCUACCUGUCGUAGGGGCUGAUGUUGCAAAACCUUGUUCCUUUCUGGACCUGAAGAAUAGGGCUCUGAUACAUAGUCCAUGAUGUCACUUGAAGAUCCACCUUACCCUAUGUGUGCCACUUCAGUCUGCAGAAUGGGCACUUGGACAUGCACCACCAAAUGUUUGCACUUAUAAGGAAUCAAUCUCUCAGUGUUGCAGAGAUCCGCAUUCUGGAACUUCCAGCCUGUGGACAUCAGGCAGGCUCCUUCGCUGUUCUGUUCACAUUUUUGUUUAGGCAAACCUAACCAGAUAUGUAGAGUUGAUGCACAUUUUAAUAUGUACAUAUGUGUUAUAAUGAAUAUUUUUAACUGCUGGUUUUAUUUAUAUUUUGUGAAUAACCUUACAAAUGUUAAAUAAUUAAUUUUUAAGGUUAAUUUAUUCUUAACUCUGACUUUUACUGAUGCAUUUUAAUGCAUAAUUUAUUUCAUGUAAACCACUUCCAGGUUUUUAAAAUUAAGCAGAAUCUCUAAUACCGAUCCACUGCAUUUCACUGGCCAUGAGUAGGGUGAUUUCCCAGUGAAUUGUGUCCAAAGUCUGUGCUUUAUUUCGCAAGCCGCUUUUAUUGGCCCACAAUUGCCAGUGUAGAGUGUCAACUUUUUCCACAUUUGGCUGUGUUACUUGGAUAGACUUAAAAGAUAAUUGCUCAGAAAUAUAGGCCAUGCACGGUGUUAAUGCUAGGCUUUUGAAAGUUUUGCCUAGCAUGACCUUUAAACAGUGGGGAAGAUUUUCCAAUCCUGUUAAUUGCCUAUUUACUAUUGCUGAGGACUCUUAAAGUCGUUAUUAAGCUGCAUUGGCUUCAGAUUCAAUUAUUUCCUAAAGAGUGUUUAGAAGGCACUUUCCACUUCAGAAGACUUUCAAUGUGAUAAUUAUGUAGACUAAUUGCACCUACGCAAAUUAUCAUUUAUAUUCAUAGGAACGUUCACUAUUAUACUAAUCCCCAUUAUACUGAUUUACAAGCCUUCCACAACUAUCACGAUGAUUAAUGAUUUGAAUGCACCACCUAAAUAUUUGCAUGGUGUGAAAAGUGUGCUAGGUGCUGUACAUAAAUAAACGUGACACAGUCCAAGACAAGGCAAUUUAACUACUUACUUUUAAGCCCUAUUCAGAUAUCAGUUUCCACACAGUCUCCAUAAUUUAACUACAGAACUCGCUCCCACAGGAAGCAGUGGUAGGUGGAUUUAAAAGAGAAUUAGACAAAAUUCAUGAAGGAGAAGGCUAUUGAUUUCUACUAACCUUAUGACCCACCAGAGGUAUGCACCCGCCUUGCAAGAACCUGAGAGAAUGUUGUGGCGCUUGACAGAAAAUAAGGUUGUCGAACCCCGAAGGAACGUGAUGGAGUCGUAAUCCAGGAGUUUCCAAUAAACAAGUGUAACACAGAAAAGAAUGCUUAUUUGUAGGAUAAAGCGUGGAGUCGUGGUUAGAGAGCCAGACUAUGAUCUGGAAGACCAGGAUUAAGCAAGGGGGGGGACCAUGUACACCCCCUUGAGCUCCUAUGCAAAAAGGGUGGGAUGUAAAUGAAACAGAUAAAUAAUCUCUGGGAGGAUCCUAGAAUACAAUAUGUGCUCAGAGUAACUUAUUCUACUGCUCUUUCCUUUCUGGUGAUG